rnacentral:ribozyme from 2 species
UCCUUAAUGCAGCUCCUUUAGGAACGGUCACAAGCCCGUAAAAUGCAGAGUGAGGA